rnacentral:rRNA from 1 species
AUGAAGCGGGAACAGCUCAAAUUUGGAAUCUCCGUCGCUCGACGCGGCGGCGAAUUGUAGUUUCGAGAAGCGCCUUCCCGGCGAACGCCCGGGCUCGCCCAAGUUGCCUGGAACGGCACGUCACAGAGGGUGAGAACCCCGUCCGAGGCGGGCCCGGAUCGCCCGCGAUGCGCUUUCCAAGAGUCGGGUUGUUUGGGAAUGCAGCCCAAAACGGGUGGUAGACUCCAUCUAAAGCUAAAUACGGGCACGAGACCGAUAGCGAACAAGUACCGUGAGGGAAAGGUGAAAAGCACUUUGAAAAGAGAGUCAAAGAGAGCGUGAAACCGUUGAGAGGGAAGCGAAUGGGGUCGGCAACGCGCCGUGCGAGAUUCAGCCGGCGGGCGGGCCGGAGGGGCGUGGCCGCGGAUCCUGACGGACCGCGCCCGUCCCUGCCGGUCGUCCCGUCCGCCGUCGCACUUCUCGCCGGCGCGCGUCGGCGUCGGUUGGCCCCGGGUCUCGAGGGCGCCGGGAAGGUGAGUCGUCGGCCCCGGUCUCCCGCGAGGGGGAUCGGCGGUCGCCGACCGUUUAUAGCCCGGCGUCGCACGGCCCGGAGCCGACCGAGGAGUCGCGGCGCGUGCUCUCCCCCCGGGGAGGGCUCGGGGAGCCGUCGCGCCGGUCGGCGGUCGACAGCGGUGGACUGCGUGCAGUGCGCCGCGACCGCCGCCGGUCGCCGCGGCGGGCCUGCCCACACCCGCAAGCAGCGCGCCCAGGACGCCGGCGGCCACACGGCCCCAUCCGACCCGUCUUGAAACACGGACCAAGGAGUCUAGCGUGUGCGCGAGUCUUCGAGUGACGGAAACUCCCAGGCGCAAUGAGAGUGAAGGUGGCGAGUGCCGCCGAGGCGGGAGCCCCCGCCGCAGGGGGCGCACCGUCGACCGACCCGGCCCACUCCUGGGCGGGAUCGA